CGUCCGGUUACUGGGAGAUUUGGGAUAUUGCCUUGCUUUUCAGCGCUGACUGUGGAUUACUGUAUGUACCACCGGAAUUCGUGGGAUUUAAUAUUGCCAGUCCGCUACACCCACUUCCAGCGAUACAGCUGCCCCAAGGUCUCGCCGUCUCCACCCACCCUGGAUCCACAACCAGGAUCCAGCUCCCAGUGGGUGAACCUCUCCUAAAUCCAGAGAGCGU